CUGGGCGCUUCGGACGGGAGGGAAGCGAGAUGGGCCUGGGAGUUUGCUUGUCUUUGCGUAUGAAAACACUGCUCGUCGAAGAGAACGCGGGGCGCUUCUCUGUUUUUGGCUGUAAAAAAACGUUUCUUCAGGGACCCAGCUCCGGUGUUCCCAACCAGGAGCUAAGAUCACCAAGAAGGAAGAUCUGUGCCUUCACGUAUAUAAGGUCUUCGGCUGACUCUGCACCCAAGACGAGAACUUAGGCAAUCUCCCUGUAUGUGCAAUAAUCCUGCAUUCAAUAUGUUGUCUCUCCAGCAUUGUCCCAAUAUGUCUAUUUUAGCACUUGCUGCGAUAUUGUACUAUUGUAAUACAUUCAUAUGGUUUCUUUUA